rnacentral:rRNA from 1 species
GAAUAUUUGACAAUUGGGGGAACCCUGAUCCAGCCAUGCCUCGUGUUUGAAGAAUGCCUUUUGGUUGUUAAUCACUUUAAGCGAGGUGGCGGCUACUCUAUUUAAUACCUAGAGAUAGUGGACGUUCCUCCCAUAAUAAGCACCUGCUACCUCUGUGCCAGCCUCCGCGGUAAUACAUCGGGUGCAAUCGUUAAUCGGAUUUACUGGGCGUAAAGCGGGAGUAGGUGGCAAAUUAAGACAAAUGUGAAAUCCACGAGCUUAACGUGGGAAUUGCAUUCGAUACUGGUUGGCUAGAGUAUGGGAGAGGAUGGUAGAAUUCCAGGUGUAGCGGUGAAAUGCGUAGAGAUCUGGAGGAAUACCGAUGGCGAAGGCAGCCAUCUGGCCUAAUACUGACACUGAGGUGCGAAAGCAUGGGGAGCAAACA